rnacentral:ncRNA from 2 species
UUAGAAAAUGAAACGUAAUUUCGUAUAACCCUGAUAAUAUGGUUCAGGGGUUUCUACCAAGCACCUUAAACGCUUGAUUACGAGGAGGAUACCGCUGUAU